rnacentral:rRNA from 1 species
CAGGCCUAACACAUGCAAGUCGAACGGUAACAGGAAACAGCUUGCUGUUUCGCUGACGAGUGGCGGACGGGUGAGUAAUGUCUGGGAAACUGCCUGAUGGAGGGGGAUAACUACUGGAAACGGUAGCUAAUACCGCAUAAUGUCGCAAGACCAAAGAGGGGGACCUUCGGGCCUCUUGCCAUCGGAUGUGCCCAGAUGGGAUUAGCUAGUAGGUGGGGUAACGGCUCACCUAGGCGACGAUCCCUAGCUGGUCUGAGAGGAUGACCAGCCACACUGGAACUGAGACACGGUCCAGACUCCUACGGGAGGCAGCAGUGGGGAAUAUUGCACAAUGGGCGCAAGCCUGAUGCAGCCAUGCCGCGUGUAUGAAGAAGGCCUUCGGGUUGUAAAGUACUUUCAGCGGGGAGGAAGGGAGUAAAGUUAAUACCUUUGCUCAUUGACGUUACCCGCAGAAGAAGCACCGGCUAACUCCGUGCCAGCAGCCGCGGUAAUACGGAGGGUGCAAGCGUUAAUCGGAAUUACUGGGCGUAAAGCGCACGCAGGCGGUUUGUUAAGUCAGAUGUGAAAUCCCCGGGCUCAACCUGGGAACUGCAUCUGAUACUGGCAAGCUUGAGUCUCGUAGAGGGGGGUAGAAUUCCAGGUGUAGCGGUGAAAUGCGUAGAGAUCUGGAGGAAUACCGGUGGCGAAGGCGGCCCCCUGGACGAAGACUGACGCUCAGGUGCGAAGCGUGGGGAGCAAACA